UACGGGGGGGGCAAGCGUUGUUCGGAAUUACUGGGCGUAAAGGGCUUGUAGGUGGCCAACUAAGUCAGACGUGAAAUCCCUCGGCUUAACCGGGGAACUGCGUCUGAUACUGGAUGGCUAGAGUGUGGGAGAGGGAUGCGGAAUUCCAGGUGUAGCGGUGAAAUGCGCAGAUAUCAGGAGGAACACCAAUUGCGAAGGCAGCUCGCUGGGACGUUACUGACGCUGAGACGCGAAAGCGUGGGGAGCAAACAGG
rnacentral:rRNA from 1 species